ensembl:snoRNA
GGCCUGGUAAAGCUGGUAAAGACUCCCUCAUAAAACCCAGAGAAGACUUUGUGUAAACCUCUUUGGAUCCUGCCUGGAGUCACACCU